rnacentral:lncRNA from 1 species
GGAUCAAGAGAGGACUUAUGGCUAGAGGUGUAAGAAAAAAGAUUCUUGGAGGAGUUGGCACCUGCUUUAGGCCUUUUAAAAAGGGGAUUUUGUGAUCAAUGUUAAAUUAUGAUCAAAUGUUAAAUUAUUAACAUUUUCUCAAUUACUUUCUUAUGUUUAGAUAAGCAACAAAGGAUAGAUCAAAUCCUGAUUUGUGGAAUUUUCCAGUUUUCAAAGUAUAAAUAUUCAUAUUGGAAAGUUAACAACCAGAUCUGUGAGCCUGUAUAAACUGACUCCUCCACCCUCCUGGAUAAGAGAAAGAAUAACCUUCAAAUUGGAAAAGGUAGAAUAAAAGUCAUUAAGGAGAAAUUGAAGGCCAUCAUAGGUCUUCAGAGCAUUAUAAUACAAAUUAAAGAAGAAGACCAAGAGAGUCUUUCCACAAGGAGCCAAUUAUGACUGCUUCUCAACAGGGAACAUAUGGAGGCUUGCUCCUGCAGCUGUUUCACAUUGGAGUCUUGGAUG